rnacentral:rRNA from 1 species
GUUGAUCCCGCCGGAGGUUACCGCUAUCCGAAUCCGACUAAGCCAUGCGAGUCCUGGGUUAAACCAGGGCAGACUGCUCAGUAACACGUAGUUAAUCUAACCUUAGGCCUGGUCCAAUCCCGGGAAACUGGGGCCGAGGACCGGAUAGGUAAGGGAUGCUGGAAUGCGCUCUUACUGAACUAAGGAUGAGACUGCGGCCUAUCAGGUUGUUGUUAGGGCAAAUUCCUGGCGAGCCUAUGACGGGUACGGGCCUUGAAAGAGGGAGCCCGGAGAUGGAUUCUGAGACAAGAAUCCAGGUCCUACGGGGCGCAGCAGGUACGAAACUUCCGCAAUGCACGCAAGUGUGACGGAGGGAUUUGGAGUGCUUCCUCCAUUGGAGGGAGCUUUUGUCAAGUCUAAACCGCUUGGCGAAUAAGUGGUGGGUAAUACGGGUGCCAGCCGCCGCGGUAAUACCCGAGCCACCAGUGGUAACCACGAUUAUUGGGCUUAAAGCGUUCGUAUCCGGCUUGGAAAGUUUCUGGUGAAAUCCGGCAGUUAACUGUCGGGCUGGCCAGGGAUACUAUCAAGCUUGGGACCGGGAGAGGCCGAGGGUAUUUCUGGGGUAGGAGUAAAAUCCUAUAAUCCCAGGAGGACCACCUGUGGCGAAGGCGCUCGGCUAGAACGGAUCCGACGGUGAGGGACGAAAGCUAGGGGAGCGAAGCGGAUUAGAUACCCGCGUAGUCCUAGCCAUAAACGAUGCCCACUAGACAUUGGCAACCUUACGUGGGUUGUCAGAGUCGUAGGGAAACCGUUAAGUGGGCCGCCUGGGGAGUACGGUCGCAAGGCUGAAACUUAAGGGAAUUGGCGGGGGAGCACACAAGGGGCGGAGGCUGCGGUUUAAUUCGACUCAACGCGAGGAACCUUACCAGAGGCGACAGCAGGAUGAAGGUCAGGUUAAAGGUCUUACCAGACAAGCUGAGAAGUGGUGCAUGGCCGUCGUCAGUUCGUGUCGUGAGAUGUCCUGUUAAGUCAGGUAACGAACAAGACCCGCGCCCUAUGUUGCCAUCUUUUCUUUUGAGAAGAGCACUCAUAGGGGACCGCUGCUGAUAAAGCAGAGGAAGGGGCGGUCGACGGCAGGUCAGUAUGCUCUGAAUCCUCUGGGUUACACGCGGCCUACAAUGGCCGGGACAAUGAGAUGUGACCCCGAAAGGGGAAACCAAUCUUGAAACCCGGCCCCAGUUCGGAUCGAGGACUGCAACUCGUUCUCGUGAAGCCGAAAUCCCUAGUAGUCGCUGGUCAUCAUCUAGCGGCGAAUAUGUUCCUGUUCCUUGCACACACUGCCCGUCAAGCCAACCGAGUGGGAUUUUGGCGAGCUCCUGGUUCUUGCCAGGAUCAAGUCAGGGUUCUGCGAGGUGGGC